rnacentral:rRNA from 1 species
UACGAAGGGGGCUAGCGUUGCUCGGAAUUACUGGGCGUAAAGGGCGCGUAGGCGGCACUGUUAGUCAGGCGUGAAAGUCCUGGGCUCAACCUGGGAACUGCGCUUGAUACGGCAGAGCUAGAGGAUGGAAGAGGGUCGCGGAAUUCCCAGUGUAGAGGUGAAAUUCGUAGAUAUUGGGAAGAACACCGGUGGCGAAGGCGGCGACCUGGUCCAUUACUGACGCUGAGGCGCGACAGCGUGGGGAGCAAACGAGG